GAUGAACGCUAGCUAUAGGCUUAACACAUGCAAGUCGAGGGGAAACGGCAGAGAGUGCUUGCACACUUUGGACGUCGACCGGCGCACGGGUGAGUAACGCGUAUCCAACCUGCCCUUUACUUGGGGAUAACCCGUUGAAAGACGGACUAAUACCCAAUGAUAUUCAUUGAUGACAUCUGAUUUGAAUUAAAGAUUUAUCGGUAUAGGAUGGGGAUGCGUCUGAUUAGCUUGUUGGUGAGGUAACGGCUCACCAAGGCAACGAUCAGUAGGGGUUCUGAGAGGAAGGUCCCCCACAUUGGAACUGAGACACGGUCCAAACUCCUACGGGAGGCAGCAGUGAGGAAUAUUGCACAAUGGGGGAAACUCUGAUGCAGCGACGCCGCGUGAGCGAAGAAGGUUUUCGAAUCGUAAAGCUCUGUCCUAUGGGAAGAUAAUGACGGUACCAUAGGAGGAAGCCCCGGCUAACUACGUGCCAGCAGCCGCGGUAAUACGUAGGGGGCAAGCGUUGUCCGGAAUCACUGGGCGUAAAGGGUUCGCGGGCGGAAAUGCAAGUCAGUUGUGAAAGGCAGAGGCUCAACCUCUGUAAGCAAUUGAAACUGUAUUUCUUGAGAUGUGGAGAGGCAAGUGGAAUUCCUAGUGUAGCGGUGAAAUGCGUAGAUAUUAGGAAGAAUACCGGUGGCGAAGGCGACUUGCUGGACACAAACUGACGCUGAGGAACGAAAGCGUGGGUAGCAAACAGG
rnacentral:rRNA from 1 species